rnacentral:lncRNA from 1 species
UGCAGAAGUGUUAUGGAUGACUGCAAGAGCUGCUAGUGGAGGUCUGUAACAUGGAAGAUGCUCUUCCUUUGAUCUGAGCCUUGAGGAUAACUGAUGCUCAGGGACAAUGCUUUUACCUCCUGAAGAGCAUCCUCAGAGUCUGGUCCACAGUCCACGGAGUGAGGUUGAGGACCCAAAAAGGUAGCCUCAUUCUUGAUUUUGGCUGUCAAGAGGAUUUUAAAAACUGAGGUUGAAAAGGAGUUGGUAAUUGGCUCAGGAGUUCAUGGACGCAAACCCUUGACUGGAGCCCAUGAUGUCACCUGGAGAGAGAGACAAUUCUGAGGAUUGUCAUCCCUGGUUCACAGCUAAGGAGACCAAAGCUCAGUUAAUUUAAGUAACUUUUCCACAGCAAAACAGCAUGAAAGCCUAGAGCACUG